UGAGUAACCUGCCCUUAACUCUGGGAUAAGCCUGGGAAACUGGGUCUAAUACCGGAUAUGACUCCUCAUCGCAUGGUGGGGGGUGGAAAGCUUUUUGUGGUUUUGGAUGGACUCGCGGCCUAUCAGCUUGUUGGUGAGGUAAUGGCUCACCAAGGCGACGACGGGUAGCCGGCCUGAGAGGGUGUCCGGCCACACUGGGACUGAGAUACGGCCCAGACUCCUACGGGAGGCAG
rnacentral:rRNA from 1 species